rnacentral:lncRNA from 1 species
UUGUAAAGAUGUCAGUUAUUUUCCAACUGGUCUACAGAGUUAAUGCAAUUCCAGUCAAAAUCACAGCAGAUUUCUUGGGGGAAAUUAAGCUGAUUCUGAAACAUGGAAACAUUAGAGACCAAGAAUAGAGAAGAGAGUGUUUAAAGAACACAGCUGGAAGACACACUGCUAGCUAUCAAGACUUCUUAUAAAGUUACAGUAAUUAAUACCAUGUGGUAUUGGUGCAAGAAUAAACAAAUAAAACAGUGAAACAGAACAGAGUCUAGAAGCUGAUCCACACACAUAGUCACUUAACUGAGGACAAAGGUAAUGAUGUAGUGCAGCAAGGAAGGGAUGACCCGUUCAAUAUAUGGUGCUGACUCAGUUGGAUAUUCACAGGUAAUAUACAUCUUGAUCCCUAUUUCCACAACUUGAAAAAAACCAAGUCCAUAUAGAUUGCAUAAUAAAGAUGAAAGUGUAAAAAAGUAAAUAUUAUGGUUAAAAAAAGGAAAGUGUCUUCAUUUACUUGAAGUAGGUAAAGAUUUAAAAAAUAAAAUAUCAAAAGCACUACCUAGAAAGAGAAAGAAAAUGAUUACUAUAAUUAUUGGAUUAUAUUAAAGUUGAAAUGUUCUAUUUAUCAAAAGACCCCAUUAGUAAAAAAGCAAGCC